rnacentral:rRNA from 1 species
AGCAGCCGCGGUAAUUCCAGCUCCAAUAGCGUAUAUUAAAGUUGUUGCAGUUAAAAAGCUCGUAGUUGAAUUUCGGAAUCUGUCCGUUGGUCGGGCUUCACUGUCCGUACUGAUGUGAUGGGUUCUUACCUUCUGAAUAACCAUCAUGUCAUUAAUUUGGUGUGUUGGGGAAGUAGGACUAUUACCUUGAAAAAAUUAGAGUGCUCAAAGCAGGCUAGUGCCUGAAUACAUUAGCAUGGAAUAAUAAAAUAGGACGGCAUGGUUCUAUUUUGUUGGUUUCUAGGAUCACCGUAAUGAUUAAUAGGGAUAGUUGGGGGCAUUAGUAUUCAAUUGUCAGAGGUGAAAUUCUUGGAUUUAUUGAAGACUAACUUCUGCGAAAGCAUUUGCCAAGGAUGUUUUCAUUAAUCAAGAACGAAAGUUAGGGGAUCGAAGACGAUCAGAUACCGUCGUAGUCUUAACCAUAAACUAUGCCGACUAGGGAUCGGACGAUGUUAAUUUUAUAAUGACUCGUUCGGCG